AUCAUUUAAUUAUCAUAACCCAAUUAUGAAGUAGAUAUACUAUUAUUCCAUAUUCAGCUAAAAAAAAAAAAACACUGAGAAAAAGACAGGGUAAGUAAUUUGCCCAGGGUCACACACCUGCUAAAAGACAGAGCUGGGAUUGCAUCCUAAGCAGUGAGUGGGUAGUGCUGAUAACAGCUACACCAGACUGCUGUAGCACUAGAUAAAAUAAAAACAACUGCUGCUCUUUGAAUGCCUACUCUGUGCCAGUUACUGUGUGCUCUAGGUGUUUUACAUGGGUUACCAGUUAAUCCUUACAUCCUUACAAGUUCAGAAGCAAAUAAUGUUUCAGUCUUACAGAUGAAGCUCAGGGAAUUGUUCUCAGUAAAGAUCAAGCGUAUGAAACAAAAAAUUGUCUUUUUCAGCUUAUUCUACCAGAUUCCAUGAAAGUAUUGCCAGUGUACAUGAAUUGCUUGUUGAAAAACUGUGUGCUACUCAGCAGACCAGAGAUCUCAACUGAUGAACGAGCAUACCAGAGACAGCUGGUCAUGACCAUGGGUGUGGCUGACUCUCAGCUUUUCUUCUACCCACAACUUCUGCCCAUACACACGUUAGAUGUCAAGAGUACAAUGUUACCUGCUGCUGUUCGUUGCUCUGAGUCCCGUCUUUCAGAAGAAGGAAUAUUCUUACUGGCUAAUGGCCUACACAUGUUCCUGUGGUUGGGAGUAAGCAGCCCACCAGAACUGAUCCAAGGAAUAUUUAAUGUGCCAUCUUUUGCACAUAUCAACACAGACAUGGUAAGUAUUAUUUUCAUUGCUUUUGUGGUAAUAUGAAAAAUAUAAAUUCGUAAAUGUUUUUAUUUAUGUGCAGUCAAAUAUUACAGAAAGAAAAAUAAUAAGGCAUAUAUUUCUGUAUAUGAAAGAAAUAAUUUCAUGUUUUGAUCAAUAUCAAUUAGCUGGUAUAAAGUUAUUUGUAUAGAGUACUUUCAAACAACUAAAAUAUGUGACUUUAAUAGAAAAUGCUAACACUUCCAGAUCAUUAACUAUGUGCCAGUCUCUGUACUCUAAAUACUUAAAUAUACCAUUUCAGUUAAUUGUCAUAACAAAUCAGUGAGAUGGAUAUGGUCUCAACAUUUUACAGAGGAAUCAGUUGAGGCUUGGAGACAAGUUCCUUCAGGUAGUAAAGUGGCAGAGAUGGGAACUGAAUUCAGUUCUUAUGCUCUGGACUCAUCCCUGGUGCUGAACUGCAUACUCAGAAGAAUGUAGAAAUCUUUCAUAAGUGUUUGGCUACAGACUAAAUCAGAUUACUGAGUUAACAAAUAAUAAUUCCAUAAAAAGAGACUAUACACCCCUCUGUUGCAAUAACAACAAAAGAAAUUGUGAGUUUGAUGUUAAAUUAAUACAAAUGACUAUUUUAAAGUAUCUUAGGAAAACCCAGCUUAUAAUUUGUACAAGAGUCAACAUUUAUUGCAAACGUUAUUUGUAGACCAUUGUUGUGUGAGCAUCACUGCCGAUGGCUAUUGUUUGACUCUGAUAGUGGAUUCCAGUAGAGCUCAGCAGAUAGUUAGUUUCCUGAAGCCUCACUUACGUUGUGGCAAGAUGGCUUAAGUCUAGUUGUUGAACCCAAUUGUAUGAAGUACAGUUUAUCAAUAUAUAUAGCAUCUUGCAGAAAGAGGCAAGAUAAAAAUUCAAGGCCAUGACAGGUGAUCAGUUUAGAGAGCUGCAUAUUCAUGAGGAAUGUCAAAAGUGUAUUUUUAAGAGAAUUCAGGGGCAUCAAUAUUCCAGUUAGAGAUUGGUUUUAAGAUGAAGAUUUAGAAAUUGAUAUCUGCAUAUGUUUGAAAUUAAGAAAUGAUUAUAAAUGCAAUUUAAAAAAAUAAAAUUCAGUAGGCAAAGAACUAUGAGUCUGAAGAAUGUUUAUAUAAAAGUUAAGGAAGCUUCCUCUUGUAAUAUAUUGACAUAGUAAAUGCUGAAUGCAUAGUUGCUGAACUGAACAUCCACAGGAAAUGGCCAGUGUCUCUACCACAAGGCAGCACAUUGGUAGGUCUGUGCUUAUAUCAGCAUACUGGUAUUUCCUUGACUUUCAUCAACAAAAUGAAACAAAGUUAAAAACCAAAUGUAAGCUACUUUCUUUUUAGAGGCAGCUGGCACUUUAAAACACAUACAUGAAGAAUACUUACGUUGUUUGUUGAAUAAAUAGAUCUACCAUAAUAUGCCACAUAAUGCAUAUAGAGGAUGGGAGUGUGAAUAUAAAUAAUGAAUUUUUUGCUUUCCUUACUCCUGUGAAAAACAUUGACCAUAAACUUUUCCUGACACUUGAGGUUUAUGGUGAAACAUUCUAAGUCACAUGUUCUCUGUCCAACUCACAGUGAUGCAUUGGCUCUUGGCAUCUUCUUGCUGAGAAGCAAACAUUAGCAUUUUACUCUGUCUUAACGGAAGAAAUGUAAGUCAAAAUCCUUCAUAUCACCUGGAUGCCAUGUGCAGCUGGAUUGGCCUGUAGACCACUAACCAGAUUUCUGGGCUAUCUAAGACGCUGCAUUCCCUUUGAGAAAUCAACAUUUGGUAGUUUGUUUUAAUGCCGGAACAGUAGUACUUGGAUGGAAUUUUCCAUCCAUUGAAGGAAUAAAGUACAUUCUUUUCUCUCGCAACAUAGCCUUGAAUCUUGAAAAGGGAUCAAACUUUCACAGGAAGUUGUUUGCAUAAAACAUAUACUAUUGUCUCUUGGUAUCCAUGGGGAAUUGGUUCCAGAAUACUCUAUAAAUUCACAGAUGCUGAAGUCCCUGAUAUAAAAUGGCAUGGUAUUUGCAUAUAACUUGUACAUAUACCCCCAUAUAUUUUAAAUCAUCUCUAGAUUACUUAUAACACCAGCUGGGCACGGUGGCUCACACCUAUAAUCCCAGCACUUUGGGAGGCUGAAGUGGGAGGAUUGCUUGAGUGCAGGCGUUCAAGACCAGCCUGGGCAACAUAGUGAGACCCUCUCUCUAUCAAAAAAAAA
rnacentral:sRNA from 1 species